GGGCCUGUAGCUCAGAGGAUUAGAGCACGUGGCUACGAACCACGGUGUCUCUUGCCUGCCCAUGGAUUCAACAGCAGUGAUCCAACUCACAUUGGGCCUAGUGCCCAAGUGGUUUGGUCGGUGGUUCGAAUCCCUCCUCGCCCA
rfam:Nicotiana attenuata strain TT chromosome 7, whole genome shotgun sequence.